rnacentral:rRNA from 1 species
GACGAACGCUGGCGGCGUGCUUAACACAUGCAAGUCGAACGGAAAGGCCCUGCUUGCCGGGUACUCGAGUGGCGAACGGGUGAGUAACACGUGGGUGAUCUGCCCUGCACUUCGGGAUAAGCCUGGGAAACUGGGUCUAAUACCGGAUAGGAGCCAUUUUUAGUGUGAUGGUUGGAAAGUUUUUUCGGUGUAGGGUGAGCUCGCGGCCUAUCAGCUUGUUGGUGGGGUAAUGGCCUACCAAGGCGGCGACGGGUAGCCGGCCUGAGAGGGUGGACGGCCACAUUGGGACUGAGAUACGGCCCAGACUCCUACGGGAGGCAGCAGGGGGGAAUAUUGCACAAUGGGCGCAAGCCUGAUGCAGCGACGCCGCGUGGGGGAUGACGGCCUUCGGGUUGUAAACUCCUUUCGCUAGGGACGAAGCUUUUUGUGACGGUACCUAGAUAAGAAGCACCGGCUAACUACGUG